ACCUUAUGCAGAACCUUGAUAUAUAAGAGAAGCUACUGUGCAUGUAAGCAGGAAAGAGCGUACCAUUCAAUCUGUCCUCCCUCACCCCCAUGCUUGUCCCAAGGCGCCUCUGAGGAAACCUAGGGAGUCUCAGAGCUGGGCCACCUCCGCGCUCUCACCUGCCAACCCAUGUCCUGCCUGAGCUCACUCCCCACCCAGACCACUAUAGUAGCCUCCCGACUGCUCUCCCUGCUCAGCCCACACCUGACCCAGCCUUGAGAAUCCAGGGCUGCUCACACUUUUCUAUCUCAUGGCCCCAGCAGAGCAGUGGUCUUGGGGGGGGGGGGGUGUUUAGGAGAGGAUGACUCAAGCUCAAAUUUCAUUUUAAUUUCUUGCCACUAUCAUUUUUAGUAUCCUGAGGCUUCAGGUACUAGCCUAUUCCUAAGGAUACAAACACAGUCUGAGAGGUCAUUAUCUGAGCAGAUCAUUCCCCAGCUCCCAGAUAAAAAUCCAAAUUUUAACAUUCAAGGAAUUUACACAGAGGGCUCUACUUUCAAACUGGGACAUGUGGUUCCAAAGAAACAGAGGAAGCGAUAGGACAACAUGUGCAGGUACAACUUUGGAUCUUAUUACACUUCUGGGUGAGAAUCUGAAGUAACUCAUGUGAGAAAGAGAUAUAAGAAAGGGGGCUGAAAGAGAAGCAGACCCUGUGUCCUCCUUGGAACAAAAACACAUUUGUGGGCUGGGGAGAGAGGAUAAAGACAACUGAUCAUCUGAUCAUGUGUUCACCUGGACCAGUGGAAAGAUACCCCUCGAAGAUGCAAUCAAUUCUCAUCCUCUACUUCUAAGGGACAUCUCAGAAUUGAAGAUUCAAGAAGAAAAAAGGA